rnacentral:lncRNA from 1 species
GGGUACAGUGUGACCCAGACUGGACCAGUGAUCUCUGGACUGGAGGGGUACAGUGUGACCAGACUGGACUGGAGACUGGACUCUAGAGUUAGAAUCUGACCGGCUUGUUCUCUGCCUGGAAAAGGUUCCUCUGCUCCUUUUCCAUUUUUGGUACAGAACACUACUGUGUCCAAUAAUUCAUCUCAUAAGCAAUGCAGAGCAAUUUCCUGGAUCUCUGUGGCACGGACUGUUCUCUCAUUCAAGCCUACCUGUGUAACUCAAGCUGCUCCGUGACUCGCAGUGGUGUUGAGUUUCCUGUAGUGGGUGGAGGGAGGAGUCAGAGAGACUGGAGGGAAACACAGAGACCGCCGAGAGAGAAGCAGGAACGAGAGGACGAGAGAAAUCAUGUCCUCCUUUUCGCUCUCCUCCCUGAACCUUGGGGUGAGAGUCCCAGCUGCAAGAACACAGGAGA